rnacentral:lncRNA from 1 species
AGCGUGAAGAGGAACUGGCCCCCAUCUUCUCUACUCUAAUUUCCCAAAUAAUGUCUGUGAAUAUAGAGUCUUCGCAACCUGACUUCCUAAUUAAGAAAGUGACAUGUUUGGAAAGGAUUUUAAAUGACAGCGUUUGUCAAGCUGUUUGUUUAGUGAACUCUCUGGGUGUGCUGUUACACAAGAACUGUCUUAAUUAAGGUUAAUUGGUGCAUAAUUAUAGGCACUGCUGACUUAAAAGAUUCCACUGGCGGUAAAGCAAUGAGAACCCUUAAUGUCUAGACAAGGACAAAGCAAUCACAAUAAGCCAAAUUUCAAGACACAUUCUAUUUCCAACACAAGGGCCCUACCCCUGGUCUGACCUGUUUAGAAGGGCACAUCUCACCAAGUGUUUGGGAACCCCUUGUGAGCUUUGGAUAAAGAAAAUCUGAUUCCAGCCUCGUGGUAUUUAGAAAAAAACAAAGAAAAGUAAAUGCAAUGGUGGGCUGGUUAUUAUUCUAAACUGUUAAAAUUUAGCUCAGGUAAAAAUCAAUCAACUUCACUUUCUCUCUGUCCUUAUUUUCUUCCCUUGCAUAAAGGGAGAAGUGGGUUGGGUAGGCAGAUGGGCAUAGAGAAUAGAGGCAGUAUCGUUCUCAAUAUCGGAAAAUGACUAGAAACAACGUGGUAGCCUGUUUCCCAUGUCUACCACGGGCACCACUGGUGCAUCACAGUGCAGUCCCCGACUUAUGUUAGCUACAAGCCCGGGUUUCCCAAGAGGGAGGGCACCAGACACCAAAAUGAACUCCAAGUGAGGUCAUAAAAUUGCUUUCCCUAGUGUCUUUAAAAACAAGAUGAAAGCAUGCAGCACUGGCUGGCGUUAGCAAGAACUUAUUUGGAAGCUGGAGAUUGACUAGAACUUCUGUAAGGAACCACCUAUUUUUGUUCCUGUUGGCUAUUUUCUUUUAAUUUCCAAUCCAUUGUGGACCAAUAUUUUUGUAAAAUACAAUAUAAGUGAGUUACUAAAUAAAUUUAAAAAGACAAAGUGCAAGUCCAAAUAUGUUAAUGUUAGAUUCAACAGACACAAAAUGAUUCAGUUAUUAUAAAAGUUUGUAAUAUUCCUUUGCAAUUUCUAUACUCAUCUCUUUGCAGAGCUCUAAGAAACAGCUUGGAUUGGGGCCCCAAGGUACUGUGCCAGAGGCCCGUGGGGUCGUCUUGGCCCUUCAGGCUCCUGGAAUGCUGCAGCUUUGCGUUCUGAGCAUGCGCAGCCCACUCCCCACAUCUGACCUCAGGCGGUCCGUCCCUUGCACAUGUGAUGAGGUCCUAUCCUCACACCUGGCUCGGCCUUUGGGGCGAGGCUCAGCUGCCUGGUGACUCUGAGGGGCUGGGGGCCAAAGAGUCCACGAGCAUUGAGAUUUGCGUGACGGAUGGUGUGAGCCAGUGUCCUUAUGGAGGAGUCUGGGAGGAGGGGCCUCCGGCACCCCAGGCACCCAGAUGUUUCUUAUCCCAGGAUUCCCCUGCGCGGCCUGUAAAACUCUGGAGAAAACGCGAGAUGGGGCUUCCUCUGGGAAGAGUGAUGGCGCUGCAGGGCCGGCAGGGUGAUUCCGCCGCUCUGAGCCUUUCUGAGGCUCAGGUCACGCCAGCCCAUCCUCUCCCUGCCCCUCCAUCAGGACUCGCACUUGCCCCUGAGUCACCAAGCGCACCCUGCGGUCUCCAACUGCUCCCUGUUUGAAGAAAGUAGCGCUAAUCUGUGAACUCCACUUUGAAUACAGCUGGCCCAGCCGUCAUUCACAGCCACAGCAGGAAUACAAAACUGUCUUGGAAUAACUUGGAUGACAGCAGCUUUCUCACGGCAUUUGCUUGGUAUAAGGAUGCAAAAGUGAACAAUACAAGCAGGAUCUUUGCCUUCGCGGAGACAUUUAGCAGUCACAGGGCUCAACCUUAGACUACAUUUACCAGCCUCCCUUGCAGCGAGUUGUGGUCACCUGACCUCAUCUGUUGAGAAGAAUGCAAUCAGCAGUAGCAUACAAUCUUCCAGGCAUGAACCAUGAAAACUUCCCACAAUCUUCUGUGUUCUUUCUUCCCCAUCUAACAGCCUAGAGGUUGAAGAGUGGACAAGACAGAAGGAAACUAGGCCCUGAAUGAGCAUUCAGGCCUACCAUCAAAUCAGAUGUUCAGUUUCAGCUUUGAGGGAAUGAGCUACUUUUUAGGGGAGUUGAGUUACUGAAAUUCGUUACUUGCCUAAUUAAUGUGCAAGUCUGGAUGCCAUGCUGUGGAAUUUAAUUGGACGGUGUUGUUUUUGGCUAAGCAUAAUUUGCUCUGAAAAAAAUCUCAAAAGAGGUAAGUUUUCCCAAUAUGAAAUUUCAUGGUGGAUAUUUUGAAGAGAUGCAUUAUUUGUAUGGGCACAUUCUGGUAUUUGUAUUUUAAUGGUUUAUAUUCACAUAUCAUUUGAAGACUGUAAGCAUCGUGAAGGUGGGAACCGUGACUGUCUUGUUCUUGGCUGUAUCCACAGAAUUUAACACAGAGCCCUGUAUUCAAAAAAAUUUAAUUGAAUCAAGAAAAUAUGGAAAUAACUGAAUGACUGACUGGUUCAUACAGAAUGAGGAGAUGGUUUUUCAUUGUAUAUUUUGAGAUGAGCAUAUCAGUGAGUCUGGUGCUUCGGUAGUUAUAAUACAUUAUUUUCUAACUCAACCAUCUUUUAAUUAAUAAGAGUGAAACUACAUAGUGAUUUUUGUCCCAUACUAUGUAUUGUCUUAUAGUUUUAAAUUUCUUCCUGCAUAUAGUAAGUGCUAAAUAAAUACUUGUUGAAUGAAUGAAGUUUGCAAACACUAGUCCACUUUUUUGUUAGAUUGAGGGUGUGUGGAAAUGAGGACUGCAUCUUAUAUUGCUUAACAUACUGAUGAUAACUGAGGUUACAGUUACAUACAGUGGAGACCAUAAUUGAACUCAUAUAUAUAUCUCCUAUAAGAGUGCAUUGUAAGUUCUAGAUAAAAUUUAAUUAGUGAUUCACAUAGGAUAGCAUCAGAGAAAAGCUCAACUCUUGUUUUGACUGAUGAAGAAAACUUCCAGCAUUUCAUAGAUUGGAUUAAAGUAAUUAAAGGAAUAAGAAUGAAAAAAUAUUAACGUGCAGUUCUAAGAAUGAGUUAGAAUAAAAUUUUCCUCUCAUAGGAGGUGGGUGGAGCAAAAUGGCAGGGUGAGCUGACCCGGGACUCUCUCCUCUCCAAACUACAACAAAGGACUGGAAAAAAAAACUGAAUUUCAGCUAAUAAAUCUAGUUCCAGGACUCAGAGACCUACAGUAUCAAAAGAUGGAGGACAGAGACCCUGCUGCCAGCCUCGGAGGAGCUGGAAUGGGGUAGGAGAGAAUUUCACUCCCUCCCCUAGAGUCUGGGAUCACUACUGUGGGUGUGGGAAGGAGCAGGGGAGGGGCCGCACGACUGGGGGAUC